rfam:Citrus clementina cultivar Clemenules unplaced genomic scaffold scaffold_5, whole genome shotgun sequence.
UACCCAUGAUGUGGACACUUCAAAAGUAGCCCAUUAAAUUGCUCCCAUGUUUCAAAAAACUGUUCGUCUUCUCUCUGGGUAAACUUUGAAAUUUUCCUGCGAAU